CCUACGGGAGGCAGCAGUAGGGAAUCUUCCACAAUGGGCGAAAGCCUGAUGGAGCAACGCCGCGUGGGUGAAGAAGGUCUUCGGAUCGUAAAACCCUGUUGUUAGAGAAGAAAGUUCGUGUGAGUAACUGUUCUCGUUUUGACGGUAUCUAUCCAGAAAGCCACGGCUAACUACGUGCCAGCAGCCGCUGUAAUACGUAGGUGGCAAGCGUUAUCCGGAUUUAUUGGGCGUAAAGGGCACGCUGGCGGUCUUUUAAGUCUGAUGUGAAAGCCUUCGGCUUAACCGGUGUAGUGCAUUGGAAACUGGGAGACUUGAGUGCAGGAGAGGGAAGUGGAACUCCAUGUGUAGCGGUGAAAUGCGUAGAUAUAUGGAAGAACACCAGUGGCGAAGGCGGCUCGCUGGACUGUAACUGACGCUGAGGUUCGAAAGCGUGGGUAGCAAACAGGAUUAGAUACCCGGGUAGUC
rnacentral:rRNA from 1 species